GUGCUCGCUUUGGCAGCACAUAUACUAAAAUUGGAACAAUAGAGAGAAGAUUAGCAUGGCCCCUGCACAAGGAUGACAUGCAAAUUUGUGAAGUGUUCCAUACUUUG
rnacentral:snRNA from 1 species